rnacentral:tRNA from 1 species
GGUUGUGGCUCAGUGGUAGAGCACUCGGUUAACAUGUGCAAGGCGCUGGGUUCGAUCCUCAGCACCA